rnacentral:rRNA from 1 species
UACGUAGGCAGCGAGCGUUGUUCGGAGUUACUGGGCGUAAAGGGUGUGUAGGCGGUUUUCUAAGUUUGGUGUGAAAUCUCCCGGCUUAACCGGGAGGGUGCGCCGAAAACUGGGAGACUAGAGUGCGGGAUGGGAGAGUAGAAUUCCUGGUGUAGCGGUGAAAUGCGUAGAUAUCAGGAGGAACACCUGCGGUGUAGACGGCUUUCUGGACCAUUGUUGACGCUGAGACACGAAAGCGUGGGUAGCAAACAGG